rnacentral:sRNA from 1 species
AUUAUCAUGCAAGGCUCGCUUAGAAUCGCCCGGCUCGUAAAUUCGUAAAUGCUAAUUGCCACAUUUUAUUUUGUCGUGUUUUGAAGCGUUUUUUGUUUUUUUUUUUUUGACUGUCGUAACGAGCAUUUCUUAAUUUGUCUCUCCGGUUUUACAUGCGCUUUUUAUAUUUUUAUUUUUCGAUGCCCAAUUGCUGCUUUGUGUAUUUAAAUGUUUGGAGAAAUCGAAACCACUAUACUUGGGGGAAAUUUUCGAUGGAUUUCGUAAGAACGAUCAUUAUAGAUUCUAUAUAGAGAUCAAGAUCUUAACGUUUCCGGAACAAGUUCUCACAGACGGCUACGGGUUUUCGUUUUUCCGCCGGCGAAUACGCUAUAAAUGGAUGUAGUUAAUUCAUUUGCAGUAAUUCAAUUAAAAAAUCAUUCGGAUUUUAUCGCAGCAUUAAUGGUCACAAUUGCGCUUCGCUUUUGUUCCAUGUCAUACGAAUUGAGGCGAAAUUGAGUGCAAAACGAUGAUGAAUUGUACAUAUAACUUUGCAGUUAGUAAAAGCGUAUGACAUGGACCCAUAAUGCCAACCGGUUAUAUCCGAUCGAGUUUUGUUUGAACAAGUGCGGCAUUUCCUUGUUUUCGUUGACUUUCUUCUACUUUAUUUUAGUAUUAUUAAAGUCUGCCAAUUGUUAUCACAGGCACUGUGAAAUGCCGCCAGGUGAUCUUAAAGUAUUUACAGCCAAAGUCGGCAGCAAACUCGCUGGUUAAACAAAGCCAGUAAGCCUAUACAUUUAAAUGAGUCGUAUUUCUAUAUAUAUAGUACCGACUUCGGAGAUAUCUUCAUAACUCGAUUGUUGAUUAUAAAAGCAUUAUGGAGGACUUGGGGAAUCGGCGAAAUAAAUAUUCGAAGCUACAAAGCUGUUGACACCUUAAGCUCGGCGAUCUAUCAAAUGACAAACGAGGCUUUGGCCCGUUCGAUAAGAAAACCCCUGCCGGUUUCUGGGUACCAUUACCAACGCCAAAUGGUUCAAUAUUUGCUCCGAUUCAGACAAACAACCAUAUAAUAUACAUAUUCUGAUUCCCAUUCCCAUAAACUUUUGCGGUUUAUCUGCGGCGAUCCUAUCACAUGACUCGGGUCUGCGGUCUUCCGAGUGAUUCUACUGGCACGUGACGCGGUUCUCUGUGUCAAUGUUUGCCUCCAGCAGUAAUUAAAAAGAAGUAUAUACAUACACGCACAUAAAUCGCAACAAAAUGCAGCAAACAGGGGAACAGCAAAUACUUGUAUUGCCUCAGCCGGUUGGUCAGAUAAAAGGUCUAUGCAAAUAUUAUUAUGAGUGCCAGUUGGGCAAACGAUUGUCAACUCUGGCGACAUAAUCAUAAAUAAGCAGCUUACUUAAUGCUUCGCUAAUCGCGAGUAUAACCAGCCAUAAAAAUAUUAAGUCUUUGAUUCAUUUUUAUUCCCAUUUAUUAGCUUUAAAGUCCAGAUUCUGGUUGAAAUAAAUAUAAUCUUUCAACUUUUUAUACUAGAAA